UUGAUAGCUAGGUAGUUACAUUAUUGUUUUCUGUGGGGACAAGCAACUUUGUGGUGCAAAUAAUACAUUCACACUGAUGGCUCAAGGUGGUGUUAAUUUAAAAUUUAAAUAUAUUUUAAAACUGACGUGUUUUUCAAGUGUUAAGGCUAAGUACAGGAAAAAUUUACACUUUCCAUAGAAUGACACUUAUAUACUUGAAAGUGUUUCAUGCUUUUACAUUACUCAGCUCUCUUUGCACUUUCAGUAUUGCCAGUAAACAUGCAUUCACACAGGUGACUUCCCGAAACAAACUUAACAUGUUUAUUACUGUUGACUCUGCAGUUGGCAAAAAACUCCUUUAAACACACCCACAAGCACAACAAUACGGAGUCAGAAGAAGCAAAGAGACACUUUUUUAUUAUUUAUUUUAAAGCAAAAAGAACAAAAAGAAUUCUUUCCUCCCCCCAAAAAGUAGAACAAAACAUAAGGGAAAAUGUGAAACUGCACAAAACCUUUUGCAUUCAUUUUUUUAAAUUUAAAAUUCCAAUAUAUAAUAUUUAGCUGUUUUUUUGUGAUUUAGUGACAUUUACUUGCCAUUAAACAUUUGCAGAAACAUUCUGGAACACAUAAAGGGAAGGAAGGUGGAGCUUAGCUCUAAAAGCGAUGAUGUCACAAUAGCCACUAUCCAAUUAGGGGGAGGCACGAAGGAGACUAGUGUCUGUAUGUGUGUGUGUGUGUGUGUGUGUGUGUGUGUGUGUGUGUGUGUGUAAGAGAGAGAGAG